rnacentral:lncRNA from 1 species
AAUCAUGCAGGAAGACAACUUCAAGAGAGAUUAAAGAGCAAAAGUUAAUAUAUUGCAUGAAUUAAAUGAUAAGAGGACAUUUGUUUUGUUUUUAAGAUAGGUACAAGUUUCAAGAAGGUGCUGUCUGUUUUGAGUGCUUUUAAGGAGUCUGUGACUUUCCUUGGGAAUACAUAUGAAGUGCUUUUCUCUUAUUUUGCUAUUCAUUUCCCUUGAAAAAGGACACUUAGUUUGUUUUACUAGAUUUUCAAAUGCAAAUUCAGCUUAUUCUUGUGGCAUGUAGAGUCUCUAAGGAUGAGACUUGCUGAAAUCUAAAACCAUUUCACAUUCUUGGAUCUUACAGUUUUAAGUAGAUUGCUCCUUGUUUUGUUCCAAGUGUCUUGAGUGAUUUGGGUGUUAAACCAGCAGAAACUUUGUUUUUUUGGUUUCCCAUAAAGAAAAUAAAGGUGAGAAAGGAAUGAUUUCCUGGAUAAUUCAAAGAGAAGAUUUAACAUACAAAUCCUUAACAUGCUAUACUAUACAGGAACUUCCAAAUCAGCUUAUGUUACAACUCAGCACGACAAUUGUUAAACUCAUUUAUUUUAAAAGAGCUUUUAUAUGUGAUACAUGUUAAAAGAGCCAAGAAGAGGGGGACUUUAACACCAUUCUUCUGAAUAUGACUCUGAACUUGAAAUAUAUGGCGCAUUUCAUUUGUUUGCUCAUUUGUGAUCCGCACAGUCCUUAGACUAAACUUUUCAAUGACAGAAA